UGUGGCUAUUUGAGUUUGGGCAGUUUGGGUGGACGGAACAGUGUAAAUGCAUGUAACUGUAUCUAUCUGAGUUUUAGUAUGCAGUCCCGCUGACAGGCAGCGUUGCUUCUCUCGGAGAAACAUGACAUGAUGCUAUCUACUAUCUAGCACUCAUUUUUAUUUUGGCCACUCCGUCAUCACUGUGCAGAUCGGUUAAUGGGUUAAUGUGGAGAAGAACAAAAAGAAUGAUAGAAGUUAAGUCUAGCCUUUAGUGAGACCAGUUUAGAAACAUACUUGAGAACCCCUAUAUUUCUACAACAUAAUAUAGCACCAUUGUAUUUAUGAAAUCUUAGCUGAAUAUGUGAUCAGGUUGAUGUUACGCUCAUUUAUGACCUAUUCAAUUUUCUAUAAAA